rnacentral:rRNA from 1 species
UACGUAGGGUGCAAGCGUUGUCCGGAAUCAUUGGGCGUAAAGAGCGUGUAGGCGGCCCGGUAAGUCUGUUGUGAAAGUCCAGGGCUCAACCCUGGAAUGCCGAUGGAUACUGCCGGGCUAGAGUUCGGAAGAGGCGAGUGGAAUUCCUGGUGUAGCGGUGAAAUGCGUAGAUAUCGGGAGGAACACCUGUGGCGAAGGCGGCCCCCUGGUUGGAUACUGACGCUGAUACGCGAAAGCGUGGGGAGCAAACAGG